rnacentral:lncRNA from 1 species
UUAUUUUGAUUACAUAAUAGGAACCACACGGUUUGAACAUUUUGCUUCCUCUCCAAGCACAAUCUGAAAACACACAUAAAAACUCACGGGCUCUAUUCAUAAGAGGGGGCUUCAUUACAAAUUUCAGGAGGGGGGCUGAAGAAACAGGGGAAUAUAACAAAAAAUAUAGAUAGAGAAAGCAUCAAUCGGAAAAGAAAGGCAGCAAAAAAUACUCUAACUGAAUCCGUCUCUUUCUUUCUGUUUAACCGUUGAUAACACCCAUUUUCCACCAUUAAAAGCAUCUCCAAAACUCCAAAAAUCAGUAGCCUUCGAUCAUCUCCUUUCUCAUUAUCCCCACCAUGAAAACCUCCAUUACAACAUCUUAUUCAUCACCAUUAAAAUCAUCUCUUGAAGCUCCAUGAAAAUCUACCAUAGAACAACCCCAAAAAUACCAAAACAGAUCCAACAUCAGUCCUCGAGGAAAGAAUUUCGAAUUGGUCGAGGUUCAUCGAGGUCGCCGGCGCGGUUCACUUUUCUAGUCAGCGCAAGCAGUAGGAUUUUCUUAAAGUUUCUAUGUUAACAUUAUAAAUUUGCUCUCCGUGAGGUCCAAUUCUUUCUCUAUUCUCUUAUUUCCGUCACUUUCAUGUGUGCUUUUCUGGUGAGAUGAUUUUGAUAGUUUGUUUUCUUGACUAAUAUUAAGUAGGCUGGUACUCCGUAUUUGAUUACUGUGGCUCAAUAUUUGUUUGUUUUUGGUAAAUGUUAUGGGUUUUAGUUUGUUCAAUUUUUAUCCGACAUGAAUAUAAUUUUGAUUAAGGUAAAUGGUUGUGGGGUUGUUCAGACAAUUAUUAUUUGGGUUCAAAUGUGCUUAGUAAAGUUUUGACUUAUUUUAAUUAGACAAGGAAAAUCGUUUCUUUUGUGUUGGUAAAGUCAAAAGAAUGUUUGAAUAUUGAAUAGAUUUUACAUCAUUUUAUAUCUUUUAAUUAAUGAAUCGCUAGGUGCAUGCGUAUGCCAUCAUCACUUGGGUAGACAAUUCUUAGAAUUUUUGUUAGUUUUAAGGCGAGAGGUCGUUCCCUUAGUUCAAUUUAUCUGGGAAAUGCCCCGCGUAAAUUAUAUAUAUUUUCCGGGAUAUGCCCCGAAGUACUUGUAUUUGGAGGCCGAAAACUUGUAGUAUUUUUAUUUUUAUUUUUAUUUUAUUAGGUGGGAACGACAUCGAGCCUCUUGUGUGUUUGUUUUUCUUUUCUGUGUUUGUUUUAGCUCAAGCUGAAUAUUUUAAAAGCCAACUAGAUGGAGUAUGCAAUUGUGACUCUCACGGGACUUGGGGAGUGCCUAACACCUUCUCCCCGAGUCAAAUGAACCCCCUUACCCGAAUCUGUGGUGCGGACUUAGUUUGGUGUCCAAAGUGCUUUAAAAGGAAAAUUAUUUUAAAAAACGGUGACCUGCCACACCGAAACCAAUGUCAGGUGGUGACUCUAAAUUAUUUCCUUUUGAACACAAUUUUGUCACUUUUUAAUUAAAAACCCUUUCAAGCUUUACAAAUCCUUUUAUUAAUUUUAAGAGGGUUAAGUGAAGUUGUAAAAAAAGGGUGUGACAGCUCUGGUGACUCUGCUGGGGAAUUGCAGGAUCGAGCUAGUACUUGAUCUUGUUGGUUUUUAGGAUAUUCAGUUGAGGUUUUUAUUUGUUUUGUUUGCUUUUUAUUUUGUUUAUGUCGUUUUGUUUUUUGCUAGUUGCUUAUUUGUUUAUAGUUUUUCCUUUAUGUGUUAUUGCUUUAUAAAUUAUCAUCAUUUGCAUAACCCCAGGUCUUCUUUCUGCAACAAGUCUUCCGGAGUACGUUUGAGCGUAUACGAACUUUUGUGAGUCACCCGUAUCUUUAGGGGGGUGGCGUGGGAGCGUGGAGUGGGCGGACAGCUAGAGUAGCCGCCAUCGACCACGUGCCGCCCCGAAUUCCCUUGUUAGUGAACCCCAAACAUAGGUCAGCCUUUAGGUCAUUUUUAUUUGCAUCAUGUCAUUUACACCUUUAGGGCUCGGUCCCAGGCACCGUGUCCUUUUGUAGGAAGCCUAUCCAAAUUUUGUCAAAAAUGGGCCCGUGGACCAAAAAGACAUUCAAUCAUCCAUAUGUGAUACAUGUUGCAUCUUUGAGGGUAAAGAGGUCAUUUGGCAGACUGAUGCUUGGGAAAAAAAUGUGAAAAUGAAGCAAAUAGGGCCUAGUUAUAUUUUUCUUUCACAACUUUUUUUAAAAAAAAAUCAAAAAAAAUGAAGAUGAAAAAUCCAAAAAGAUUUUGCACAUUCCCCUCAUUUUCCAAAAAAAAAAAAAAGAAAAUCCAAAAAGAUUUUACAUUUUCCAUCAUUUUUCAAAAAUACAAAAAAAAGUAUAUUUUCCAAAUUAGUGUCAUUUUCGGGGUCUUAGCCAAAUCUUGCAUGACUAGCCACUUUUGGCCACAUCGGUCAUUCUCGCAAAAUGGGGUCAUUUUUGCAAAAUUCGUUCAAUGACCCAUGUCUUAGGAUCUUGAGUCCAAUACUAGGUGUCAUAUUACUUUAUGGUCCGUCCUUUUGAGUUUGCAUCUUUAGCCACUUCUGGCCACAUAGGCCGUUUUUUGCAAAAAUGGGUCAUUUUUGUAAAUUAAUUUUGGGGUAUGAUUAUUAGAAGUGUGAAUCCACAUAAGCCUUAGUAAGGUAUUUCCAUAUCUGAGUAGUCACCCUUGUUGAGUUUGCACUUCUAGCCACUCUUGGCCACAUAGGUUAAUUUUCAAAAAUAUCCCAAUCGUGUCUUGCAUGUGUCUAAUAGGAGAUUUUGUGGCGUGGCAUAGUGUCUCGAGUCACUUAUCUAUUUGGUCUUAUUUUUUUCUCAUUCAGGUAUGAGUUCAUUUACUACAGCUCGAGCAUGACUGAUAUCCCUAGACCAUUCCAGUCAGGACCGUUGCAUGCAUGAUCUGCUUGAAGGUACUUUUGUGUUUUGAGUCUAUUAUCCAUGUUGUCUUUUACUGUCUAGUAUGGUACAGUAGUAUUUAGUCUUUUAGUUGGUGUCAGUUUGUCGCAAUCUAGUUCAGUUUGUUGAGUCUUUUGUUAUCGUACUUCCUAUGAUGUAUUUGAAAAUCAAAAAAAAUUAUAAAUGAAAAAUCCAAAAGAUUUUGUUUCUUAGUUUAUUUUGUCCAUUUGCUUUUCCAUAACUACGCUUCAUCUGAUUCAUGAGGGACAUAAUACGUAGGCAACCUACAUAGGGUUCAAUCGAAUCAUUUUUUUGAAAACCAAAAAAAAAAGAUGAAAUUGUGGAUGUGAGAAAUGAGAGGAAAGAAAAGAGUGACAAUUAAAAAGAAAAAGAGAGGAAGGAAGCCAUGGCUAGGGAAGAUUUGGACACAGGAGUUGUUGAUCCGCCGAGGAAGAUUGUUGAAUUAGAAUCAAAACUGAAAGAGGAGGUCCGAGGGUUGAAACAUCAUAUGGCAGAAAUGUAUCAGGCUUGGAUUAAGGGACAUCUUCCACCUUCAUUCCCUACCAACUAUACUGAAAACCAUGCUUCCAUUCCACCGCUGUCCUAAGCCCAGAUUUGCAAUACCGUUGAUCUUUCCCUUCAAUACGCCCCGGGCUUCACCCCUUACAACUCCUACCUCGGCACUUCGUCGCAAAUUUUCCAUGCCCCACCAGCCAAAACAACCUCAUACCCUGCUAAAGUUUAGGAAGCCAAUUUUACCUGGGUCAGCACACUUUGUGGGGAAGAUGCAUGGUAACAGGGAAUAUGAGAAUCCUCUUGGAAAUUUGCUUGCUGAAGUUAAUGAUAUGGAAAUUGGUGAAGGUCCUAGUAAUUUUGAUAUGCAACCCAGUGGCUAUGAUGUCGAGGUUGGUAAUUUGAAAGACACUCCUUUCUUGGCUAGCCAGGGAGGAGUUUUGGUUGUUUAUUUUGAUGUCAUUUUUGUUGUCCGAGUUAUUUCAAGGUUGUAAUCGGGAUAUUGUCUUUUGACUCAAACCCUUCUUCUUCUUAUUUUGCCUAGUUCGUUUAGUGGUAGUAACUCAUCUAGUAGUAUCUAGGAUUGUUCCAGGGUUGUAACCCAUGUCUAUUUUGCAUGUUUUGUUCAAACCCUUUUCACCAUCUGUCUAAUGCAAUCUCCAGUUUUCUGUUAGUUCUAGUCAGUUUUUGUUUAAGUCAUUUUUCCUUUUAUAGUUCCUUUUAUACUGACUCUAAUGACAUGACAUGCACACAUAAUUCUCAGUCUGGUCUCAAAAGUUAGUUUAAUCAUGAAGCAAUGACAUAGUUUUGAACAUGAUAAAAAGAGGCAUUUGAGGAAACAAGUAAAGAUUUACGCAUUCUGAGAAACCUGAAGCUUGAAUUGGGUGAAACUGAGGCAUUCAGUUUGGAAAAUCAAAAAGUUGAUUAGAGCAUACAAAAAGGGAAUGUUUCUCAAGCAGUUUGAGGUAGAUCAGUCAGUGUUGAAAUGCAUAGUUCCACAUCAAGAUAAGGUUGAGUCAAGUCUACUUCGAACUGGCCAGGGUCAUUCAUUGAGACAAAGGUAUUGCUCAUUGGCACUUUUUGUUUGUGUUGAUGCCAUCAAUAGAUAUUGUGCAUGAUUUCUUUGCUUAUCUUCAGUUGCAUGUUUGUACUUGGCAUUUUUAAAGUUUGGUAUGACGAAAGCAUUUUAUUCUGCUACCCAAAUACUUUUAUAUUUGCUACCCCUUUUGAGCCUUAUUUUAUUUUGUUUCAUACCCCUUUUGGAAUCAGAAGUAGAGUUGGGAACUAGAGAAGAAAAAGAAAAGAGAAAAAGAACAAAAAAUAAAAAAAAAGAGAAAUAAAAGGAAAAGAAAAAAAAAUCAACUUUGUGUUUGAACUACAUUCGACCGGAUUCUUGUCACCACAAGAUACGUAGGCAGCCUUAGGGUUCGGUCACACCAAAUAAAGUAUUGCAUAAUCCCCCGAAGUCAAGAGUGUGGCAGUUUGUCUUAGAAUCCCAAGAAAUAAAAAUUCCCAAAACUCCAAGAAAUUGGGGCAGAGGUUUUAAUUUUUCCAAAAGACCUGAUUCCAAAAGUUGUAAUUUUGAACCCUUUCAUCUUAAAUUAUUAUGAGUCUUCAUGCCACCCUUUCUUUUCAACCCUGUCCAAAAGCCUACAUUACGGUCCAAAGAAAGACCUUUCGACCAAUCUUUGAGGAUGCCAAAUCAAGUGCGUGGAGAAAGUAUAAUCUUCUUGUAUCAUGGGUAAUACCUUUGUUCUUAGCACAAAGAGAAAAAAUGAUAAAAUGAGAGAGUCUUAUCGGUGAAAACCCUCAUGGGCACCGUAAGGCGAAAAUGAGUUGAGAAAAGAAUAAAAUGAGAGAGGCUUGAUGGUGAAAACCUUCAGCGCACUACAAGUCGACCGAGGAUUGUAGAUUAGAUGGGACAAUUGAAGCGCUGAAGCCCAGUUUCACAGCGAAGAGGUACACAAGAGUUGAAUAUUAGACUUGAUUGAGAGAUUAGGCCACUUAAUCCAAAGGUGCACGUCAUGGUCAUUAGAGUUGGUAUCCACAUCUGAUAAGUUUCUACUUUGUAAUUUUCUUGUUAGGUAUCAUCUCUUUCCCUUGUCUCUUAUUUUGUUCCUCUUGUUUUGCUUGAGUCCCUUCUUGAGUCUGUUUGGUCAGAAUAAGUGAGAAAUGACUUCACAAUAUGCUAUCAACUUUCCAAUUGCACAAAACGAAUUUGGCUAGCACAUCAAAGUGGCAUAAGUCAGGGAAAAGUGGUAUGCGCAUUGAGUUGGUAACAAUCAACAUGCUUUGGGAUUCAUGUGACAUGCAAGGGUGCAGUAAAUGCCAAUUUAUGAGUAAAAUGCAACAGAUAGAGGAUAUUGGGAUCGAAUGGAGCAGAGGUGUUCUCUAUGAUAAGGGUUGAAAGAAAAUGGGUAGUCGAUAAUAGUCAAGGUCGUCCAAGUUGAAAUCAAAUUUAUCUUGGCAAGUGUAGAAGCAGCCGCCCUCAAGGUCAAGGCCAUAAACUAACAAUCACAUUUAAACUCACAAGUUUUCUUUGUUUGAAACAGGAACAAAGCAAUGCAAGCAAGUGGGUUCAAAAACAAGAAAAGAAAAAAAGAAAAAAAGAAAAAAAGAAGAAGAGAAGAAUCUACAAAGGGAAGUUUCUCAAAUCUUUUUCCUUACAUGUCCUGCUAGUGUGCACAAAUGUUGCUAUUGCUCUUCACAUUUUUCCUCCUAGGAUAAAAAGUCCUAGUCUGAUGGAUUUUCAUCCCAAUAAAAAUCUUAGUUUGAUGAUUUUUUCUCCUAAGAUAGAAAAACCUAAUCUGAUGAAUUUGCUCCUAGGAUCGAAAUCUUAGUCUGAUGAAUUUUUCUCCUAAGAUAACAAAAAAGACUUAGUCUGAUGAAUUUUCUCCUAAGAUCAAAAUCUUAGUCUGAUGAAUUUUUCUCCUAAGAUAACAAAAAAGACCUAGUCUGAUGAAUUUUCUCCCAGAAUAAAAUCAUAGUCUAAUGAAUCUUUCUCCUAAGAUAAGAAACCUAGUCUGGUGAAUUUCCUCCUAGGAUCAAAAUCUUAGUCUGAUGAAUUUUUCUCCUAAGAUAACAAAAAGACCUAAUCUGUGGUCUCAAUUUCAUUUUUUAUAUUUCUUUCUUUAUUUUCAUUUUUUAUAUUUCAUUUUUUUUUCAACAUCCAAUCACUUUUUCCCAUGUCACCCUUCUAGAUAAUUCCUCCAACAAACUUAUCACACACUACAUGGACACGUUAUUUUGAUUGCACAAUAGGGACCACACGGUUUGAACAUUUUGCUUCCUCUCCAAGCACAAUCUGAGGGGACACAUAAAAACUCACCGGCUCUAUUCAUAAAAAGGGGCUUCAUUACAAAUUUCAGGAGGGGGGCUGAAGAAACAGGGGAAUAUAACAAAAAAUGUAGAUAGAGAAAGCAUCAAUCGGAAAAGAAAGGCAUCAAAAAAUACUCUAACUGAAUCCGUCUCUUUCUUUCUGUUUAACCGUUGAUAACACCCAUUUUCCACCUUUAAAAGCAUCUCCAAAACUCCAAAAAUCAGUAGCCUUCCGUCAUCUGCUUUCUCAUUAUCCCCACCACGAAAACCUCCAUUACAACAUCUUAUUCAUCGCCAUUAAAAUCAUCUCUUGAAGCUCCAUGAAAAUCUACCAUAGAACAGCCCCAAAAAUACCAAAACAGAUCCUACAUCAGUCCUCGAGCAAAGAGGUUCGAAUUGGUCGAGGUUCAUCGAGGUCGCCGGCGUAGUUCACGUUUCUUGUUAGCGGCAAGCAGUAGGAUUUUCUUAAAUUUUCUCUGUUAACAUUAUAAAUUUGAUCUCCGUGAGGUCCAAUUCUUUUUCUAUUCUCUUAUUUCCGUCACUUUCAUGUGUGCUUUUGUGGUGAGAUGAUUUUGAUAGUUUGUUUUCUUGACUAAUAUUAAGUUGGCUGGUACUCUGUAUUUGAUUGCUGUGGCUCAAUUAUUUUUUUUUUUUUUGGUAAAUGUUAUGGGUUUUAGUUUGUUCAAUUUUAAUCCGACAUGAAUACAAUUUUGAUUAAGGCAAAUGGCUGUGGGGUUGUUCAGACAUAUUAUUUGGGUUCAAACGUGCUUAGAAAAGUUUUGACUUAUUUUAAUUAGAGAAGGAAAAUCGUUUCUUUUGUGUUGGUAAAGUCAAAAGAAUGGUUGAAUGCAUAUCUUUUAAUUAAUGAAUAGCUAGUAAUAUGCGUAGACCGUAGUCACUCGGGUAGGCAAGCCUUAGGCUUUUUGUUAGUUUUGAGGGGAGAGGUCGUUUCCUUAGUUAAAUUUAUCUGGGGAAUACCCCGCGUAAGUUGUAUAUAUUAUCCGGGGUAUGCCCCGAAGUACUUGUAUUUGGAGGCCAAAAGUGGAACUUGUAGUAUUUUUAUUUUUAUUUUUGUUUUCAUUUUUCUUUUAUUAGGUGGGAAUGACCUCGAGCCCCUUGUGUGUUUGUUUUUCUUUUCUGUGUUUGUUUUAGCUCAAUCUGAAUAUUUUAAAAGCCAGCUAGAUCGAGUACGCAACCGUGACUCUCAUGGGACUUGGGGAGUGCCUAACACCUUCUCCCCGAAUCAAAUGAACCCCCUAACCCGAAUCUCUGGUGCAGACUUUGUUUGGAGUCCAAAGUGUUUUAAAAAGAAAAUCAUUUUUAAAAACGGUGACCUGACACACCUAAACCAAUGUCAGGUGGCGACUCUGAAUUAUUUCCUUUUGAA